UUUGGCAUAGUGUUAGUGGUAGCACACUGGGUUCAUAUUCCGGGAGUAGAGGUUCGAGUCCUCUUGCCUGUA
rnacentral:tRNA from 1 species